rnacentral:rRNA from 1 species
GGAAGAAAGCUUGCUUUCUUUGCUGACGAGUGGCGGACGGGUGAGUAAUGCUUGGGAAUCUGGCUUAUGGAGUGGGAAACUGCAGCUAAUACCGCGUAUUCUCUGAGGAGGAAGGGAUUGUUGUAAAGUUCUUUCGGUAAUGAGGAAGGGAUGUUGUUAACAGCUACGCUGAUGCAUGACGUCAUGCCGCAGUAUGAUAUGAUGAUAUAAAUAGAUAGCAUACAACACCGAUAUCAAUGCUGCUGCUGCAUGAUCCAUUGACGUUAAUUACAGAAGAAGCACCGGCUAACUCCGUGCCAGCAGCCGCGGUAAUACGGAGGGUGCGAGCGUUAAUCGGAAUAACUGGGCGUAAAGGGCACGCAGGCGGACUUUUAAGUGAGAUGUGAAAUCCCCGAGCUUAACUUGGGAACUGCAUUUCAGACUGGGAGUCUAGAGUACUUUAGGGAGGGGUAGAAUUCCACGUGUAGCGGUGAAAUGCGUAGAGAUGUAUACCGAAGGCGAAGGCAGCCCCUUGGGAAACGAGUCAGCAUGGCGCGCACAGGCACUGACUGAACUGACUGUGACGUACGCUAGUCAGCUAGACCUAUGAGACUAUCGACGCUCAUGUGCGAAAGCGUGGGGAGCAAACAGGAUUAGAUACCCUGGUAGUCCACGCUGUAAACGCUGUCGAUUUGGGGAUUGGGCUAUAACGCAGACUACGAUAGCAUCACGACUAGCUACCGACAUGCAUACGUACUGCUUGGUGCCCGAAGCUAACGUGAUAAAUCGACCGCCUGGGGAGUACGGCCGCAAGGUUAAAACUCAAAUGAAUUGACGGGGGCCCGCACAAGC